UGCAGCUAAGUCAAAUUGUGCCUGCCCUACCUCUGGUAAGUGCUGGCCCAGAAGGCUGCCACAGAUACACUGUGACUCAUGGGCCCUAUUCCUGUGUCCUGGGCUCAGGGAUAAAUUUGGUUACAGACACCA
rnacentral:snoRNA from 1 species